ACGAGAUACCGCCAGAUGGCGGCUUAGGAUUGCUGCUCCCUGUCAGGCGCGGCCCGGGGCUUAUUCGUGUUAUUAUUAUUAUUUUAUAUUUAUUGCAUAUCCAAAAGACACUGUGUAAUAUAAUUAGAUCUACAUAGUUGCCUAUAGCAACGUUUUACGCACAGUUGUUUUGGUGGCCGUGGGGCCUGGCCGGGAUUUUAACCCUCAUUCUGCCGUCUCCUUUGUGUACCUCUCAUUGGGAUUAAUUUAUAUUUUAACCGACUCCCUGGGACGGAUUUAGGUUCCAUGAAGAGACCCGGAAUGCCUAGUUGAGGGGGAGGCUAAUGGACAUGUCCCAGCAACACCUGAGGGUUGUUAUGGCUGAAAUACCACAGGCAGAUGCUGUGCUCACAACCUGGUAUCCCUAUACCCCUGUCGUCUUGAAUGGCAUAUCCAAGGGAGUAAUGGGUCUUGCAUAUGUCUGAGCUCUCAUAAAACAAUCCUUUAAAGGAUCAUGCAAAUGCAAUGGAGUAGAAUUACAUAAUAAGUGCAUAAUAAAAAAAUAUGAUGCAAUAA